UUCCAGACUCCUACGGGAGGCAGCAGUGGGGAAUAUUGGGCAAUGGGCGAAAGCCUGACCCAGCAACGCCGCGUGAAGGAAGAAGGCUUUCGGGUUGUAAACUUCUUUUGACAGGGAAGAGCAGAAGACGGUACCUGUCGAAUAAGCCACGGCUAACUACGUGCCAGCAGCCGCGGUAAUACGUAGGGGGCAAGCGUUAUCCGGAUUUACUGGGUGUAAAGGGAGCGUAGACGGCAGCGCAAGUCUGAAGUGAAAUGCCGGGGCUUAACCCCGGAACUGCUUUGGAAACUGAGCAGCUAGAGUGCAGGAGAGGUAAGUGGAAUUCCUAGUGUAGCGGUGAAAUGCGUAGAUAUUAGGAGGAACACCGGCGGUGAAGGCGGCCUGCUGGACCGUGACUGACGUUGAGGCUCGAGAGCGUGGGGAGCAAACAGGAUUAGAUACCCCUGUA
rnacentral:rRNA from 1 species